GAGAAACUGAUGAAGUGGUCCUGAGGAGGAGACAAAAACAGAUCAAUUUUGGAAAGAAUACCCUUGCAUAUGACAGAUACAUUAAAGAAGUCCCAAAGAACCAGCGAAUUCCGGGAGUUCACCCUAGAACUCCCAACAAGUUUAAGAAGUACAGCCGUAGGUCCUGGGACCGGCAGAUCAAGCUGUGGAAGAUAGCCCUGCAUGCCUGGGAUCCUCCUGCUGAAGAAACCUGGGAUCUGCAGCCCGUUAGUACAGAACCUUCAGGUACUUCCCAGGAAUGGUUCUGCAAAGAUGAGGAUGUUUCUGGCUCCUUUGUGCAGAAGAGAAAUGAGUGUGAAGAUGAAUGUAGACAGACUGCCUACUACACACCUGAGAGGUA